AUACCUUUCUCGGCCUUUUGGGUAAGAUCAAGUGUAGUAUCUGUUCUUAUCAGUUUAAUAUCUGAUACGCGGGAUAUCGUCCCACAUGAUAUUAAAUUAAUUUUUUUAGGGGGAGGUCCCUCCACAAUAGCUUGCUCGGGCCUGGCGCACCCCUCCCACUCGUAACAAAAGUUUAUGUGUUUGGGCUUUCAU